rnacentral:rRNA from 1 species
GUGAGUAACACGUGGGCAAUCUGCCCUUCACUCUGGGACAAGCCCUGGAAACGGGGUCUAAUACCGGAUAACACUUCCACUCUCCUGGGUGGAGGUUAAAAGCUCCGGCGGUGAAGGAUGAGCCCGCGGCCUAUCAGCUUGUUGGUGAGGUAAUGGCUCACCAAGGCGACGACGGGUAGCCGGCCUGAGAGGGCGACCGGCCACACUGGGACUGAGACACGGCCCAGACUCCUACGGGAGGCAGCAGUGGGGAAUAUUGCACAAUGGGCGAAAGCCUGAUGCAGCGACGCCGCGUGAGGGAUGACGGCCUUCGGGUUGUAAACCUCUUUCAGCAGGGAAGAAGCGAAAGUGACGGUACCUGCAGAAGAAGCGCCGGCUAACUACGUGCCAGCAGCCGCGGUAAUACGUAGGGCGCAAGCGUUGUCCGGAAUUAUUGGGCGUAAAGAGCUCGUAGGCGGCUUGUCACGUCG